AAACGAUACUCGCUAGGUGUCGGCCACGGUGCGACCGUUGUCGGUGCCGUAGGGAAGCCGUGAAGCGAGCCACCUGGGAAGUACGGCCGCAAGGCUGAAACUUAAAGGAAUUGGCGGGGGAGCACCACAACGGGUGGAGCUUGCGGUUUAAUUGGAUUCAACGCCGGAAAUCUUACCGGGACCGACAGCAAUAUGAAGGCCAGGCUGAAGACUUUGCCGGAUUAGCUGAGAGGUGGUGCAUGGCC
rnacentral:rRNA from 1 species